rnacentral:tRNA from 1 species
GGAGAGAUGGCUUAGUGGAUAAAGCGCUUGCCUGGAAAACAUGAAGACCAGAGUUCAAAUCUCCCCG